GAUGAACGCUGGCGGCGUGCCUAAUACAUGCAAGUCGAGCGAACAGACGAGGAGCUUGCUCCUUCGACGUUAGCGGCGGACGGGUGAGUAACACGUAGGUAACCUACCUAUAAGACUGGGAUAACUUCGGGAAACCGGAGCUAAUACCGGAUAAUAUUUCGAACCGCAUGGUUCGGUAGUGAAAGAUGGCUUUGCUAUCACUUAUAGAUGGACCUGCGCCGUAUUAGCUAGUUGGUAAGGUAACGGCUUACCAAGGCAACGAUACGUAGCCGACCUGAGAGGGUGAUCGGCCACACUGGAACUGAGACACGGUCCAGACUCCUACGGGAGGCAGCAGUAGGGAAUCUUCCGCAAUGGGCGAAAGCCUGACGGAGCAACGCCGCGUGAGUGAUGAAGGUCUUCGGAUCGUAAAACUCUGUUAUUAGGGAAGAACAAACGUGUAAGUAACUGUGCACGUCUUGACGGUACCUAAUCAGAAAGCCACGGCUAACUACGUG
rnacentral:rRNA from 1 species